rnacentral:rRNA from 1 species
GACGGAGGAUGCAAGUGUUAUCCGGAAUCACUGGGCGUAAAGCGUCUGUAGGUUGUCGGACAAGUCAACUGUUAAAUCUUGAGGCUCAACUUCAAAAUCGCAGUCGAAACUGUUUGACUAGAGUAUAGUAGGGGUAAAGGGAAUUUCCAGUGGAGCGGUGAAAUGCGUAGAUAUUGGAAAGAACACCGAUGGCGAAGGCACUUUACUGGGCUAUUACUGACACUCAGAGACGAAAGCUAGGGUAGCAAAUGGGAUUAGAUACCCCAGUAGUCCUAGCUGUAAACAAUGGAUACUAGAUGUUGACCAGAUCGACCUGUGCAGUAUCAAAGCUAACGCGUUAAGUAUCCCGC